rnacentral:lncRNA from 1 species
AUGCUUAAUUACUCUGAUGUGGGACAAAAACAGCUCCCAGGGAGAAUGAAUAAGCUGGGUUUUAAUCUGCAGGAACACACUAUAAAUUCUUCUGGCAGGUCUGCAGAGCUGGGAGGACCUGCAACACCUGCCUGGAGGAAUCUCUGGGCAACUCUCAUGUGGAUGCCCCUGGCUGGUGUUGUGGCAUCCAAAAUGCCUGGCUUGGGGGCGAGCAGGUGGUGGUGGCAGCUAAGAGGAGCCAGAAGAGGAUGGAGAGGCAGAGUCACCAUACCAACCCAUCUGAAUUCCUUCCUGACACAGCUGAGGCCCAGCUGAAGCAGCAGGCCCUCCAAAAUGCCCCUGACGAUGGACAGAUGCCCCAGUUCUCUCAGCAUCCCUGUUAACCUUGAAACCCUACCUGGUAGGCACAGCACUAUCAAAAUCUAAUCAGUGAAACCAAGCUGGGAUUUGAUCUUGGGAGCUAACAGGAGGAGGAAAAAAAAAAAAGAUGACAGUGCAAAUAUGUAUGGUUUCUAGAGGGGAGACGCGCAAAGCUGUCGUUAAUCAUCAGCAUCUCCACAGAGUAGCAAUGGGAGGACCUGGCAAAGCCUGUCAGCAUCUGUGGUAAUCCAGUUAAUUAGUGGGAAAGGACAAACUCCUCUGGAAGUACCUCAGUGACGGGCAAGCUCUCUUCCUAUUUCAUUAGGAUGAUUGCUUUAAAGGUUGCAGGCAGACCUGUGGCUCCGGAGCUCUCCCUGGCUGCACAGGCUGAUGCUGGCCAUGUUGGAGGGCAUGGGCUGGCAGGUGGUGUGGGGAGGGGAAUGCAGUGAGACAGAAGAGGGGAGUUUGAGCUCCAAACCACAGUUUGCAGGCAUUGUCUUCUCCUUCCUCUCCUGCCUUGCUCUUUCAGCAAGUUGAAAGAAAGAAAAAAGAAGGGAAAGGCUGCAAUGUGUCACAAAGGAACAGACUGGCAGACAUCUGCCUCUUGCCUUAUUUAUUUAUUUCUUAAAAAAAAAAAAAAGGAAAGAAAGAGGAAAGAGUACAGAGCCAACUCUUCACUCCAGAGCCCCCCGUUCCCUUAACAAACCAAAUGGUGGCUGUUGGCAGGGUAUUGACAGCUUGUUAAUGAAGGAAUUCUUGACAAAAUGACAACCUGUGUGGGAUGCUGUGUGAAGCAGAAUCCGCCCACAAACCAGUACUGAGUAAUUAGGAGGUGGUGAAAAUAGCAACUAACUACUGCUGGGGAGAAGAGGAAGGGGGAAGAAAAAACCUCCUAAAUUAAUUAUAAAAGCUUUUCUGAUUUGAAAAGUAUCCCUCUUCCCUUUCCCCGAGGAGACACAACAGUUUUUCCUGAACAGUCUAUUUUCUCCUUUGCAUUUCUCUUUGUGGGGCAAAAGGUGCAUUUCAAAGGACUGCACCUGGUAGCUGAGAAUGCAGUGCCUUUCCCUUCUUCAGAGACACACAGAUGGAAAUCAAACAACAAGCUGGGCUCUGGCGCAGCCCGUUCUGCUCCUCAAAGGUUUGCAUUGCUGUGCUUUUCCCUUGAUUUUUGUCUGAUUGCUUCAGGCAGGAGAGCUUGACUCUCGAUGAGUGUGUUGGGCAGAAAGGAGGGUGGGUGAUGAAGCAGCCGGGGCUCAUCAGUCACAGAGUGGGUCUCGUGGAAAGGCACAGCUUUGAGCAACAGACUGGCAUUUGUGAGAUGCAGCAGCACCGUCAUUCACUACCACAGCACUGGCAUCAGUGUUAGCAUCAGGAUCAGGUGCUAGAGCAACGGUUAGCAGCAGAGGUAGCAAAAUCCAUGGCUUCUGCUGCAAUUGUUUCAGGUCAUCCUUCCAUUGGCUCAGAAGCAAGAUAAUGUUCUCCGCCCUGUCUUAAAUGUGAUAAUUUAAUGGUUUGGAGAAAAAGAGCAAAAAUAGUUUGUGCAAUAAAAGGUGUGAGAGAUUGUUUUAAGAUGUUGAU